GAUGAACGCUGGCGGCGUGCCUAAUACAUGCAAGUCGAGCGAACAAACGAGGAGCUUGCUCCUCUGACGUUAGCGGCGGACGGGUGAGUAACACGUGGAUAACCUACCUAUAAGACUGGGAUAACUUCGGGAAACCGGAGCUAAUACCGGAUAAUAUAUUGAACCGCAUGGUUCAAUAGUGAAAGACGGUUUUGCUGUCACUUAUAGAUGGAUCCGCGCCGCAUUAGCUAGUUGGUAAGGUAACGGCUUACCAAGGCAACGAUGCGUAGCCGACCUGAGAGGGUGAUCGGCCACACUGGAACUGAGACACGGUCCAGACUCCUACGGGAGGCAGCAGUAGGGAAUCUUCCGCAAUGGGCGAAAGCCUGACGGAGCAACACCGCGUGAGUGAUGAAGGUCUUCGGAUCGUAAAACUCUGUUAUUAGGGAAGAACAAAUGUGUAAGUAACUAUGCACGUCUUGACGGUACCUAAUCAGAAAGCCACGGCUAACUACGUG
rnacentral:rRNA from 1 species